CUUGAAGACCGCUAGGGUUCCGGGCUCAGACCACUUCUCUCAAGAAGCCAUCUGAGCCGUCUGGUCCGAGAGCGGUCGGCCACGAUCGUGUGGCUCCACGGAGGGACAAAAGCCCGGGAGAC
rfam:Burkholderiales bacterium RIFCSPLOWO2_02_FTLL_67_64 rifcsplowo2_02_scaffold_1262, whole genome shotgun sequence.